rnacentral:rRNA from 1 species
UGGGGAAUAUUGGACAAUGGGCGAAAGCCUGAUCCAGCAAUGCCGCGUGUGUGAAGAAGGCCUGCGGGUUGUAAAGCACUUUUCUGAAGGAAGAAACGGCCUGGGUUAAUACCCCAUGGCAAUUGACGGUACUUCAGGAAUAAGCACCGGCUAACUCCGUG